rnacentral:rRNA from 1 species
AUUGAACGCUGGCGGCAGGCCUAACACAUGCAAGUCGAGCGAGCGGCGGACGGGUGAGUAAUGUAUGGGGAUCUGCCCGAUAGGGGGGGAUAACUACUGGAAACGGUGGCUAAUAACGCAUACUCACGGAUAAACCCAUAUGGGAUUAGCUAGUUGGUGGGGUAAAGGAUCACCUAGGCGACGAUCUCUAGCUGGUCGGCGAGGAUGACCAGCCACACUGGGACUGCGACACGGCCCAGACUCCUACGGUAGGCAGCAGGGGGGAAUAUUGCACAAUGGGCGAAAGCCUGAUGCAGCCAUGCCGCGUGUAUGAAGAAGGCCUUAGGGUUGUAAAGUACUUUCAGCGGGGAGGCGUUACCCGCAGAAGAAGCACCGGCUAACUCCGUGCCAGCAGCCGCGGUAAUAC